AACGAACGCUGGCGGCAUGCCUAACACAUGCUAGUCGAACGAGACCUUCGGGUCUAGUGGCGCACGGGUGCGUAACGCGUGGGAACCUGCCCUUAGGUUCGGAAUAACUCCCCGAAAGGGGUGCUAAUACCGGAUAAUGUCUUCGGACCAAAGAUUUAUCGCAUUUGGAUGGGCCCGCGUUGGAUUAGCUAGUUGGUAGGGUAAAAGCCUACCAAGGCGACGAUCCAUAGCUGGUCUGAGAGGAUGAUCAGCCACACUGGGACUGAGACACGGCCCAGACUCCUACGGGAGGCAGCAGUGGGGAAUAUUGGACAAUGGGCGAAAGCCUGAUCCAGCAAUGCCGCGUGAGUGAUGAAGGCCUUAGGGUUGUAAAGCUCUUUUACCCGGGAUGAUAAUGACAGUACCGGGAGAAUAAGCUCCGGCUAACUCCGUG
rnacentral:rRNA from 1 species